rnacentral:antisense_RNA from 1 species
UUUUAUGGGUGGGCCUUGGCGGGGACGGCUUCGGCCGUGCCGGUUUCCUUUGGUCCGGUGUUCCAACCCCGUCAUGUGCCCGCCCACCCCG